rnacentral:rRNA from 1 species
AAACGUUUUCUGCAUCCAGGAUUAGCCUAAAUCCUUUGGGAUAAGGUAUCAUGGAGGGUGAGAAUCCCGUUCAUGGUUAAUCUUAAGGAAGCUCUACGAUACGUUUUCCAAGAGUCGAGUUGUUUGGGAUUGCAGCUCAAAAUGGGAGGUAAAUUUCUCCUAAGGCUAAAUAUUGGCGAGAGACCGAUAGCGAACAAGUACCGUGAGGGAAAGAUGAAAAGAACUUUGAAAAGAGAGUUAAACAGUACGUGAAAUUGUUGAAAGGGAAACGAUUGAAGUCAGUCAUACCAACGGGAAAUCAACCUUUUGAGCUUGGUUUCGUGGGUUUUGAAGAGUUUCAAAGCCUUCGGAUUCGCGAGAUUGGGAUCUCUUGGUGUACUUUUUCGUACGGUUAGUCAACAUCGGUUUUGAAUGUCAUAAAAUGACUGGAGGAAUGUAGCUUCGAUCUCGUAUUGAAGUGUUAUAGCCUUUGGUAGAUGUGAUGUUUGAGACCGAGGAUUGCAACGGAUACCCUUUAGGGCUAUUCGUCUGAUCUCUGAUACGUUGCCCUGAUGUUGAAAGCUUGC